UGGGGAAUAUUGGACAAUGGGGGAAACCCUGAUCCAGCAAUGCCGCGUGAGUGAAGAAGGCCUUAGGGUUGUAAAGCUCUUUCGCCCGCGAAGAUAAUGACGGUAGCGGGAGAAGAAGCCCCGGCUAACUCCGUGCCAGCAGCCGCGGUAAUACGGAGGGGGCUAGCGUUGUUCGGAAUUACCGGGCGUAAAGCGUACGUAGGCGGAUGCGCAAGUUGGGGGUGAAAUCCCGGGGCUUAACCUCGGAAUUGCCCUCAAAACUGCACGUCUUGAGACCGAGAGAGGUAAGGGGAAUUCCUAGUGUAGAGGUGAAAUUCGUAGAUAUUAGGAAGAACACCAGUGGCGAAGGCGCCUUACUGGCUCGGUACUGACGCUGAGGUACGAAAGCGUGGGGAGCAAACA
rnacentral:rRNA from 1 species